AUUGAACGCUGGCGGCAUGCCUUACACAUGCAAGUCGAACGGCAGCACGGGAGCAAUCCUGGUGGCGAGUGGCGAACGGGUGAGUAAUAUAUCGGAACGUGCCCAGUCGUGGGGGAUAACGUAGCGAAAGCUACGCUAGUACCGCAUACGAUCUAUGGAUGAAAGCGGGGGAUCGCAAGACCUCGCGCGAUUGGAGCGGCCGAUAUCAGAUUAGGUAGUUGGUGAGGUAAAGGCUCACCAAGCCGACGAUCUGUAGCUGGUCUGAGAGGACGACCAGCCACACUGGGACUGAGACACGGCCCAGACUCCUACGGGAGGCAGCAGUGGGGAAUUUUGGACAAUGGGCGCAAGCCUGAUCCAGCAAUACCGCGUGCAGGAUGAAGGCCUUCGGGUUGUAAACUGCUUUUGUACGGAGUGAAAAGGCUUCCACUAAUACUGGGGGCUCAUGACGGUACCGUAAGAAUAAGCACCGGCUAACUACGUGCCAGCAGCCGCGGUAACAC
rnacentral:rRNA from 1 species